rnacentral:rRNA from 1 species
GACAGAGGGGGCAAGCGUUAUUCGGAUUUACUGGGCGUAAAGGGCGCGUAGGUGGCUUCGCAAGUCUGGUGUGAAAACGCUACCGCUUAACGGAGCGAUGGCGCUGGAAACUGCGAAACUUGAGUUCGAGAGAGGCAGGCGGAAUACCUGGUGUAGCGGUGGAAUGCUUAGAUAUCAGGUGGAACACCCGAGGCGAAGGCGGCCUGCUGGCUCGAUGCUGACACUGAGGCGCGAAAGCGUGGGGCGCAAACGGG